GAUGAACGCUAGCGGCAGGCUUAACACAUGCAAGUCGAGGGGUAGAAGCAGCUUGCUGCUUUGAGACCGGCGCACGGGUGCGUAACGCGUAUGCAACCUACCUUUUACUGGGGGAUAGCCCGGAGAAAUCUGGAUUAAUACCCCAUGGUAUCUACGAAUCGAUUGGUUUGUAGCUUAAAGAUUUAUCGGUAAAAAGAUGGGCAUGCGUCUGAUUAGCUAGUUGGCGGGGUAACGGCCCACCAAGGCGACGAUCAGUAGGGGUUCUGAGAGGAAGGUCCCCCACACUGGCACUGAGAUACGGGCCAGACUCCUACGGGAGGCAGCAGUAGGGAAUAUUGGGCAAUGGUCGCAAGACUGACCCAGCCAUGCCGCGUGCAGGAUGAAGGCCCUCUGGGUUGUAAACUGCUUUUAUCUGGGAAGAAAAAGUCCAUGCGUGGAAAAUUGCCGGUACCAGAUGAAUAAGCACCGGCUAACUCCGUG
rnacentral:rRNA from 1 species